rnacentral:rRNA from 1 species
GAUGAACGCUGGCGGCGUGCCUAAUACAUGCAAGUCGAGCGAACAGACGAGGAGCUCGCUCCUCUGACGUUAGCGGCGGACGGGUGAGAAACACGUGGAUAACCUACCUAUAAGACUGGGAUAACUUCGGGAAACCGGAGCUAAUACCGGAUAACAUGUUGAACCGCAUGGUUCAACAGUGAAAGACGGUCUUGCUGUCACUUAUAGAUGGAUCCACGCCGCAUUAGCUAGUUGGUAAGGUAACGGCUUACCAAGGCAACGAUGCGUAGCCGACCUGAGAGGGUGAUCGGCCACACUGGAACUGAGACACGGUCCAGACUCCUACGGGAGGCAGCAGUAGGGAAUCUUCCGCAAUGGGCGAAAGCCUGACGGAGCAACGCCGCGUGAGUGAAGAAGGUCUUCGGAUCGUAAAACUCUGUUAUUAGGGAAGAACAAAUGUGUAAGUAACUAUGCACGUCUUGACGGUACCUAAUCAGAAAGCCACGGCUAACUACGUGCCAGCAGCCGCGGUAAUACGUAGGUGGCAAGCGUUAUCCGGAAUUAUUGGGCGUAAAGCGCGCGUAGGCGGUUUUUUAAGUCUGAUGUGAAAGCCCACGGCUCAACCGUGGAGGGUCAUUGGAAACUGGAAAACUUGAGUGCAGAAGAGGAAAGUGGAAUUCCAUGUGUAGCGGUGAAAUGCGCAGAGAUAUGGAGGAACACCAGUGGCGAAGGCGACUUUCUGGUCUGUAACUGACGCUGAUGUGCGAGAGCGUGGGGAUCAAACAGGAUUAGAUACCCUGGUAGUCCACGCCGUAAACGAUGAGUGCUAAGUGUUAGGGGGUUUCCGCCCCUUAGUGCUGCAGCUAACGCAUUAAGCACUCCGCCUGGGGAGUACGACCGCAAGGUUGAAACUCAAAGGAAUUGACGGGGACCCGCACAAGCGGUGGAGCAUGUGGUUUAAUUCGAAGCAACGCGAAGAACCUUACCAAAUCUUGACAUCCUCUGACCCCUCUAGAGAUAGAGUUUUCCCCUUCGGGGGACAGAGUGACAGGUGGUGCAUGGUUGUCGUCAGCUCGUGUCGUGAGAUGUUGGGUUAAGUCCCGCAACGAGCGCAACCCUUAAGCUUAGUUGCCAUCAUUAAGUUGGGCACUCUAAGUUGACUGCCGGUGACAAACCGGAGGAAGGUGGGGAUGACGUCAAAUCAUCAUGCCCCUUAUGAUUUGGGCUACACACGUGCUACAAUGAACAAUACAAAGGGUAGCGAAAUCGCGAGGUCAAGCAAAUCCCAUAAAGUUGUUCUCAGUUCGGAUUGUAGUCUGCAACUCGACUACAUGAAGCUGGAAUCGCUAGUAAUCGUAGAUCAGCAUGCUACGGUGAAUACGUUCCCGGGUCU